GUCCAUUGGUCCAGUUGGAAAACAGACUAAACUGAAAGCUACCUAUCCAAAUGAAAUUGGCCUCCCUAUAAAAUCCUAUGAGGUGGGGUCUCACUGUGUUGCCCAAGCUGGUCUCAAACUCCGGACCUCAAGUGAUCCUCCUGCCCUGGCCUCUCAAAGUGCUGUAAGGCGCUGAUAGGGCAUGCUCUGGUCUAAGACAAAGCCCUUAUUUUUGGGUUGCUCCGUCCAAC